GUGAGACAGUUCGGUCCCUAUCCGGCGCGGGCGUAGGAUAUUUGAGAGGAGCUGUCCUUAGUACGAGAGGACCGGGAUGGACUGGCCGCUGGUGUACCUGUUGGGAUACCAAUUCCAUAGCAGGGUAGCCAAGCCGGGAAGGGAUAAACGCUGAAGGCAUCUAAGCGUGAAGCCCCCCUCAAGAUGAGAUAUCCCAUGACGUUAAGUCAGUAAGACCCCUUGAAGACGACGAGGUAGAUAGGGCAGAGGUGGAAGUGCCGUAAGGCAUGGAGCUGACUGUUACUAAUAGGUCGAGGGCAUGACCAG
rnacentral:rRNA from 1 species